GGUUGCGAUCAUACCAGCACUAAUUCCCCAGAUCCCAUCAGGACACCGUAGUUAAGCGUGCUUGGGUGAGAGUAGUACUAGGAUGGGUGACCCCCUGGGAAGUCCUCGUGUUGCAACUU
rnacentral:rRNA from 1 species